rnacentral:sRNA from 1 species
AUGAAGCGGAACCUCGCCGUGCUCGCCUCCACCAAGCCGCCGUUCGUCCCUCCCGACGAUUACCACCGCUUCUCCUCCGUCGUCGCCGAUCGUGAAGCCGAAGCUCUUGUGGUUAGAUCUCCCGUAAGUUUGUUACAGUAUUAUUUAUUAUUAUUAUUAUUAUUUUUUUAAUUUUUUUUCCUCUUUUAUUUGAGUUUGUGGUUAGGCACUUUGCUUGUCAUAUAAUAGCGUAAUUAUUGGAUAAUAAUCUGAACUAAAUUAAUAGUACAAUUGCUUUGAUUUUGAUUUUGGUUUCGAUUUUGAUUCUGAUUUUUGGUGGCUGAUAAUGAUUGCAACAAAUUCAAGCUUGUUUGGCGCGUUUCUCGCUUUAUGAGGCUCUGUCAAAUUUUUAGAGCGACACUUUUUUUUAAUUUAAUUUUAAUUUUGGCUACGAUGUAGUGCUAUAUGGAAAAUUUGGAUUUGGAGUGGACUAUUGUAGUUGAAUUUAGGUUUGCUAUUAAUUCUUCAGCAAUUUAGUCAAAUUUUAUGGUGAUUAUUUGUCAAUAGGGGAUUGUAAAGCUCUCUCUAGAUUAUGUUGAAGAAUUUGUUUGAAUAUGUAAUUCAAACAAAGGGAAGGUUUAAAAAGAUAUUUCUAAUAGAAUUGAUGGGUACACGAAGUACUGUCUUUUUUAACAUCAUGGCGUGUAACUAAAGGCUCGUUUUGAAUGUAAACGUUUGCCGUGGAAGAUAAUGGGACUGCUGAUUUUAAGAAGCUGCUAAUAUUGUCACAUUUUGUGAAACCCGUAAUUUGUGAAAAGCUUUAAGGUGGAUGAAUAAAUGGAAUAUUAAGUAGCAUAUGGUGGUGACUGCAUGUACUUGUGUAUUGCUAUUAUGUAUGUGGUGUUUUAGAUUGAUUCUGAUGACUGCGUCCUUGUUGUUUGGCAUGAGGCGAGUGGCUGCCUGUCUGUGUUGGGCGGGCUGCUGGUUCAAGCAAAAGUUGCUACUGACCUCUAGAAGUUGUUGUGGAUAAUUGUUUUCACUCUUCAACAAUAUGAAGAAAGCUCCAAUUUUCAUGAUAGUUCUAUAUUUUUCACUACAGAUGUAUAUACAUUGUUUUUGCUGCAGCAACUACAGUAACCUUAGAAGUUCACGUGCAUGAACAUGAAGAGAAGUUUAGGCAUCUGAAGAAGCUUAUUGGAAUUUUUUCUUCUUCUUUGUUUUGGUUAAUUUUGAUUCAUCUGCAUUAAUGAUAUCAGAACAGGAUCACCACUUGGACAUGGAUUGUUUGGAGGUGAUAUUGUGGAUUGACCAUGUGUCCCUAUUAGUGAACUUUUCUGUGAUCAUUUUGAAAAGCUGACAGUGGACUAGACAAUGGUCUUUAGACUAAAUUGAAUCUCCUUCCCCCCAUAAUUAAGGGGCAAAGGCUGAGGACAUGUGUUCAAUUCAUAAUAAUAUAGGCGUGAAGGUUGAAUUUUCCUAAAAAGAAUAAGAAGAAGAGAAGAAGAAGAACGAAAGAAAAUUAAAAAUUAGUGGACUUCAUUUUAAUUUUCUCCAGCAGCAAGCAUAGGGUUCAAUAUCAGUGACUGAGUUUGUGAACUAGCUUAGUUUAUGUAUGUGUGUGCGUUAAAUUAUUUUAUCUCAAUCUUUUAUUGCUUUGCUGCCUGUAACAAAAAAAAAGUUAGAAAUCUUAAUUAGUUCUUUAUUUCUGGUAUGUAAUGGAUAUACAUGAUGUCAUGAACUUAACUAUACUCAUGAUGAAUUGAACUAUUGGAAGGGCUUGCAGUUUCUUCAAAGGUUUGCAUUAUCCAGCCUUCUGCAGACUAAAAUUCAAGUGCAAUAUGUAUCUCACUUUAGUUGUUUCCAUCAUGGAAUCAAUCAUAAAACCACCAUAAACAUAUGUAUCUAGUAGUAUCACAUUAUUACUAACUAAAGGAUACAUAUGGAAUAGUAUAGUGGUUAGUUAGUCAUGUAACUGUCAUUGACAUAAUUUCACAAAGCUGCCGGUGAUUCUCAGCUAUUAAAGCGGAAGAAUGGAACAGACGACAAUGAAGUUCAGUCUAUUGACUGGACUAACAGUCCUGGAUACACUAGUGUAGUAAACAGCCCCCUCAAGACACCCGUUUCUGCAAAAGGGGGAAGGAUAUACAACAGGUCAAAGGGUACAAAGGGCAACAGAUCUGGGCCUCAGACACCUGUGGCAAAUGCUGGUGAGACAUUUUUCCCACAUUCCCUUUGUUAAUUUAGACUAUCUAAUAUCAGCUUUGACAAAUGAUUGUGCUUGAUUGUAUAAGCACUAAAUUUGUGGUGAGACAUUUUUCCCACAUUCCCUUUGUUAAUUUAGACUAUCAAAUAUCAGCUUUGACAAAUGAUUGUGCUUGAAACAAAUUAUGUUGGAUUGUAUAGGUACUAAAUUUGCUUCUCAUCCUAGAUGGAUUUGGUCAUAAUACAGUCUGUACUUUGUCCAGUGUUGCUAGAAAAAUAAGAUCUAACAAGAUAGUUUUUAUUAUCAUGCAGGUUCCCCAUCUCCUCUUACUCCUGGCAGUUGUCGUUACGACAGUUCCCUAGGUAAUGUCGGUCUAAAUGAUUUCUUCGUAUGUAAUAAUGUCUGCGUUAUAUAGCUUUUGAAGCUGUCAUAUGUGUAAAGAGUGACAAAGUGCCAGAACUUUACAGGAUUGUUGACAAAAAAGUUCAUCAAUUUGCUCAAGCAAGCAGAGGAUGGUAAUCUUGACCUAAACAAAGCGGCAGAAACUUUGGAGGUGAUCAUUAAGCUAUCUGAUUGUAUGCAUUUUUUCUAUAUUAAAUGCUAAUUUGAGGGUUUCUAAUGAUACAGGUGCAAAAGAGGCGAAUAUAUGACAUAACAAAUGUCUUGGAAGGCAUUGGACUCAUUGAAAAGAAACUCAAGAACAGAAUACAUUGGAAGUAAUACUUGUUACUUUUGUUCUUAAAACAUAUGAUUUUGCUCUGCUUUUGAUUUGAGAUUCAUUUUAGCAUUUGAAGAACAUGAUUACUUAUGCGAAAGUUGGUUGAAUGACUGAUUAGGGGAUUAGAUGCUUUAAGGCCAGGGGAGGUUGAAGAUGACGCCUCUGCACUACAGGUAUGCAGAUCUGGAUAUUGCUUUCUUGUGAUGCAUACACAGGAAAAUAUGUUUUUUACAAGUAUUAGCGGCUAGGAUGUUUCCAUUUACUUUUUUCAUGAUUUGUAAAUGUCCGUGAGGUAUUGAAGAAUUGCUGGAUUUACAACCUCUGAUGUCCCUUCAGUGACAUCCAAUAAGUAUAGAAUGAUAACCAUACUGUGAAUCCAAGAAAGGAUGAAAAGAAAGGAAAGAAAGGCAAACAAUUCAAUAAUUUUUCAUGGAAGAUGAAGAUUUGUGUCUUUUUCUGCAGGCAGAAGUUGAAAACCUUACCAUGCAAGAGCGAACAUUAGAUGAUCAGAUAAGGUUAUCUACCCAAUUUCCUUGUCAAAGUAAUAAAUGAUGCUGUCUUCAAAUGGUUGAAUUUGGCUGAUGCUUUAAAGCUAUUGCAGGGAAAUGCAGGAAAGAUUGAGGGAUUUGAGUGAAGAUGAAAACAAGAAAAAGUAAAUCUUUUCCAGUUAUUUUUUUUAUAGGGGAAAAAAACUCAAAUGGUAUAUAAAAACUGCAACCUAAUGACUUUAUAUUCAUCAUAUUAGGUGGCUUUUUGUAACCAAAGAAGAUAUUAAGGGCUUACCCUGCCUCCAGGUCAGUUCAUUUGGUGUUAUACUGAUUUAGAGUAAAUGUAAUUGUUUCCCACUUUUCUACCUAUCUUUAUGGUGUUUCAGCUAUUUAGUUAAUCUGGUUAGCGCUUUCUCUGGCAGAAUGAAACCCUGUUAGCAAUUAAAGCUCCACAUGGAACCACACUGGAAGUCCCAGAUCCAGAUGAGGUAAGUCCAGAUCAUAAAAAUUGAAGGAAGGUACAUGUUAUAUUUAACAUAUGAUAUGAUGGUUGACAGUGCUUCUAUAUACAUUAGGCUGUUGACUAUCCACAGAGAAGAUAUAGGGUUAUUCUUAGAAGCGCAAUGGGCCCUAUCGAUGUCUACCUUGUCAGGUGCUAAUCUUGCAUGUGUUGGAAAUUCUUUGUUUUAAAUUUUCUUCUCUUUCCCUUCUUUUUUUAAAAUAAAAAUUUUCUUUUAAUUUCCUUUGAAACUCCCCUUGAUUGUUUUAUAGUCAAUUUGAGGAGAAGUUUGAGGAGAUGAAUAGUGUUGAGCCACCUGCGAGCUUCCCAAUGGUUUCAAGCUCAGGGUCUAACGAUAACCCGGCCACUGACGAAGUGGUCAAUGCCAAUAGCACCAUGAAGGAAGUUAUGCCUCAGGCACAACACAGUCAUCAAAUGUGCUCUGAUCUUAAUGCUUCACAGGAGUUUGCUGGGGGCAUGAUGAAAAUUGUUCCCUCAGAUGUUGAUGUAAGUGUAGAUAUUCUGAGUAAUUUGUUCCUAUAUCUAAUUUUUACCGAGAUAUCAUAGAUUUCUGAAGACAGAGUUAACUAAGGUAAGGUAUAUGAAUGAGUUGGUUGAUAGUUAAUUUGUUACUUGUUAUUAUCGCAGAAUGAUGCAGAUUACUGGCUUCUGUCAGAUGCUGAAGUUAGCAUAACAGAUAUGUGGAAAACAGACGGUAUAUACCACUUUAACGCUCUUUUUAUUUUUUUGAACAUAAUUUUCAUCUGACUGGAUGUUCAAUUCCUUUUGAUUCCAACUACAGCAGGUAUUGAAUGGAGUGGGAUGGAUAUGCUUCACCCUGACUUUGGGAUACCCGAUGUUAGUACUCCAAGGUCACAAACUCCAUUAUCUGGAAUGGCUGAAGUGCCAUCUACAGCUUUUGACUCUACCCAAAGAUGAAUGGAUAUUGAUUUGCUAAUGAGCUAAAUUGAAAAAUUAUGUCUGUAUGCCAGUAGCCUUUAUGUCUUUAAAUCAUUGCUGAAAGAUGCCAAAAGGUUGCUUGGUGAAUGAAUGCUAGGGAAGCUUUUGGAUGAAGCUAAUGGAAGGCAAGCUGGGAGUAAUUCUUAUACUGUACAGUUUAGGGGCCCCCAUGGCAUGAAUAAAAUGCGUACGUCUUGGACUUAGAAAAAAAGGACACUCUUGGAAUUAAGGUGGUGGAUCUUUAGCAUGGAAGGUAGAAUGGUUACAUUUAGUAUGGGUGGGUUGGACAAAGUUAGGGCAAACGCAAGAAACAAACAAAGAUAGAGUUUACAAGCAUAAUCUCAUUAUAUGCGUAUUUAUUUUUUUUAUGCAGCACCUUGGUGUCUUUUGCAAAGUUGAGGCAACUCUGUAA